rnacentral:rRNA from 1 species
UACGAAGGGGGCUAGCGUUGCUCGGAAUUACUGGGCGUAAAGGGCGCGUAGGCGGACAGUUUAGUCAGAGGUGAAAGCCCAGGGCUCAACCUUGGAAUUGCCUUUGAUACUGACUGUCUUGAGUACGGGAGAGGUGAGUGGAACUCCGAGUGUAGAGGUGAAAUUCGUAGAUAUUCGGAAGAACACCAGUGGCGAAGGCGACUCACUGGCCCGUUACUGACGCUGAGGCGCGAAAGCUAGGGGAGCAAACAGG